CCUAUCCCCGCGCCCACCGGAGGCACGCACACUCACGCCGUCCAAUGGAGUUAUCGCCAACCGCUCCUCCGCUCCGCUUGCCCUCCACGGCCGCGCAACGCCAUCUUGACUUCCGUUCAGGAGCUCACCGGAAGCACCUCGCCGAUUCUCGAGAUCUUUGAAUGGAGCCGAAACAACAUGCACCGGCAGCCUCUAGGCAUAACCAGCAGCACGCGGCUGCCGCCCCGCAGCUGGCAACCAAUGGUGCCGCAGUACCGGCUGGGAAGCUGAAGGCCGUCGCUGCCGCCACCGGCCGCCUCGGUGCGGGAGGAAACUAGCGGGUGCUCGGGGUCAUCAGCAACGUCGCCCACGCCCACUUCCACAUCGGCAACGUCGUUCACCAGGACAGUCUGAAAAUUAGCACAAGGGAGCUUCGGCGCUCAACUCUUGAAUAAGGCCCGGGCCGAUCCAUGCAAGGCACGGACGCGACCCCCCUUUCUUCUUGCAUGACUUCUUAAGAAAUUUCUUGAUGGAUUGUAAUUCGCUCUGGUGGUUUGCAGUGCGGGCCACCUGAAGCCAGUGAACAAUAAGGUCCCUGUCAAGGCCGCUACCCCUCGCUGCUACUCGAUGGUCGACCGGCACCGGCUGCACUCUAAUGCUGGGGAUGGUGAAGCAAUGCAAUUUUUCCUAUUCUUUCUUACACAAAUGAAGCAAUGCAGUUGGCAUCAACAUCUGCUACUCGCUGGCCUCUCCUGGAGCGCAGGAGGCCAUUGCCGUCCACCGCUUCGACGCUCGGCUGCUGCCCAACGGACGCAUUUGAGACACCCCUACAGCCGAUGCUCCUGCACUUGGCUCUUGCCCUCCGCUGCAUAAUUUUGACGCCCCAUCGAUGCUGGCACCACUACAGGGCUUCGCUGGGAUAGUACAGCCUAGCCUCUCCGGUAGGUGCAAUGGCAAUAAAGCUUAUGCGUUCAUUUUUAACAUGUACGUGAGGGGUUGACACGCAAGUGGGAAGCAGGUAUGGCAAUUCCAUUUGCUCUGGUUAAACAGGUAUGUUCCUUGCUUAUAAAUAAAGCCUUACAUGAUUUGUUCCUUUACUGAUUACUGAUGGACUGACGAGGUCAGAGAUAUGUAACAGCCAUCUUGAUCCAAAAUGACAAGUAUGAUAGUGCUAAGCUGCGUACCUAGAAUUUUACCACAGCCUAAGACUUGCAAAUGUCUACAAUAAAUACGAAUAGCUAGCUGUUUUGUGGUCUACAACCGUGACAUGUAGCAGCGUCUCUCAUCAUGUCUGCACAGAGUGUUCAGGUAUGAUUCUUGCUAGGGUAAAUGAGUCGUCGAUUUGCUAAUUAAAUUUGUUUCCUAUUCUAUGCAUAGAUGCAGUUGCGACAAUUAACUGAAGCAACUAUUUUUUUUCUUUUGUAGUUAUAUAUACUUAUGCAUAGAUGCAGUUGUGACAAUUAAUUGGCUUUGGUCUUCCUAAAUUUCUGUAGCUUUUUUUCUUUCCCAAUUAGGUUUGUGAAACAAUGAUUAUUCUAGUCAUGUGAUCUGGCCAUUCUAGAACACUAGACGUUUCUCCACAGCGUGGAUAUUGAGAUGACAAGUUUAAUUCCUGUUUAAUCUGCGCAGAACUAAUUUUGCAUACCAUGUAUUUCAUACACAAAUGUUAAAUUCCCUUCAUUUUUGUUCAUGAACGUCGCAACUCAGAAUGAGGGCAAAAUGGUCGUGACUGCCGGCGGACCCAAGAGCGAACGAGUUCAAUUUCUCACUGUGACUCCCACGGGAGUUGUAAUUGAGUCCAAUUCAAUUUCUGGAGUUGUAGUUGAGCCCGGCAACUCGAUUUUUGAAAAGAUAAGAUGUAGGUCGAACCCAAGAGCGAACGAAUUAAACUUGACCACG